UAUACCGUAGCUUGCUACACCAUAGACUGUGAGUUGCGAACGGGUGAGUAACGCGUAGGUAACCUGCCUAUUAGAGGGGGAUAACUAUUGGAAACGAUAGCUAAUACCGCAUAACAAUAUGUAACACAUGUUAGAUGCUUGAAAGAUGCAAUUGCAUCGCUAGUAGAUGGACCUGCGUUGUAUUAGCUAGUAGGUAGGGUAAAGGCCUACCUAGGCAACGAUACAUAGCCGACCUGAGAGGGUGAUCGGCCACACUGGGACUGAGACACGGCCCAGACUCCUACGGGAGGCAGCAGUAGGGAAUCUUCGGCAAUGGGGGGAACCCUGACCGAGCAACGCCGCGUGAGUGAAGAAGGUUUUCGGAUCGUAAAGCUCUGUUGUUAAGGAAGAACGAGUGUGAGAAUGGAAAGUUCAUACUGUGA
rnacentral:rRNA from 1 species